GAUGAACGCUGGCGGCGUGCCUAAUACAUGCAAGUCGAACGAAACUUCUUUAUCACCGAGUGCUUGCACUCACCGAUAAAGGGUUGAGUGGCGAACGGGUGAGUAACACGUGGGCAACCUGCCCAAAAGAGGGGGAUAACACUUGGAAACAGGUGCUAAUACCGCAUAACCAUAGUUACCGCAUGGUAACUAUGUAAAAGGUGGCUAUACUACCGCUUUUGGAUGGGCCCGCGGCGCAUUAGCUAGUUGGUAGGGUAAAGGCUUACCAAGGCAAUGAUGCGUAGCCGAAUUGAGAGGUUGAUCGGCCACAUUGGGACUGAGACACGGCCCAAACUCCUACGGGAGGCAGCAGUAGGGAAUCUGCCGCAAUGGGCGAAAGCCUGAUGGAGCAACGCCGCGUGGGUGAAGAAGGUCUUCGGAUCGUAAAACCCUGUUGUGAGUGAAGAAAGUGCGUGAGAGUAACUGUUCACGUUUCGACGGUAUCUAACCAGAAAGCCACGGCUAACUACGUG
rnacentral:rRNA from 1 species